rnacentral:rRNA from 1 species
AGUUUGAUCCUGGCUCAGAACGAACGCUGGCGGCAGGCUUAACACAUGCAAGUCGAGCGCCCCGCAAGGGGAGCGGCAGACGGGUGAGUAACGCGUGGGAAUYUACCCUUGACUACGGAAUAACGCAGGGAAACUUGUGCUAAUACCGUAUGUGUCCUUCGGGAGAAAGAUUUAUCGGUCAAGGAUGAGCCCGCGUUGGAUUAGCUAGUUGGUGGGGUAAAGGCCUACCAAGGCGACGAUCCAUAGCUGGUCUGAGAGGAUGAUCAGCCACAUUGGGACUGAGACACGGCCCAAACUCCUACGGGAGGCAGCAGUGGGGAAUAUUGGACAAUGGGCKCAAGCCUGAUCCAGCCAUGCCGCGUGAGUGAUGAAGGCYYUAGGGUUGUAAAGCUCUUU